CACCAAAAAGCUGCUGUGGGAAAUUCAUACUUCCAUGGGACGCUCGUAUGGUCCAAGGACCUCGACGUUGAAUCGAGGGUCCAUAACCUAAACCCAAGGUCGAAGUGUUUCUGCUCACACCCCACGCUUCGACGCGUACAGUGGCCGAAGCUUCACUACUCUUUCGACCUCCACAACACGCUGCACACUAGUCCUUGGGCUAUGUGCAACCCUAGCCGCUCUGCUAUCACUCACGACUGUAGAGUAGCACUGUUCAUCUCCAAAUAA
rnacentral:lncRNA from 1 species